CCUACGGGGGGCAGCAGUGGGGAAUAUUGGACAAUGGGGGCAACCCUGAUCCAGCAAUGCCGCGUGUGUGAAGAAGGCCCGAGGGUCGUAAAGCACUUUUGUUAGGGAGGAAGGAGUAUGCGUUAAUACCGCAUAUGACAGACGUUACCUAAAGAAUAAGCACCGGCUAACUCUGUGCCAGCAGCCGCGGUAAUACAGAGGGUGCAAGCGUUAAUCGGAAUUACUGGGCGUAAAGGGUGCGUAGGUGGACGCAUAAGUCGGAUGUGAAAUCCCUGGGCUUAACCUAGGAACUGCAUUCGAAACUGUGAGUCUAGAGUAUGGUAGAGGUAAGUGGAAUUUCCGGUGUAGCGGUGAAAUGCGUAGAUAUCGGAAGGAACAUCAGUGGCGAAGGCGACUUACUGGACUGAUACUGACACUGAGGCACGAAAGCGUGGGGAGCAAACAGGAUUAGAUACCCCUGUAGUC
rnacentral:rRNA from 1 species